GUAUGGACUCAGCAGUCUGUGUGUGUGUAUGGACUGAGCAGUCUGUGUGUGUGUGUGUGUGUGUGUGUGUAUGGACUCAGCAGUGUGUGUGUAUGGACUCAGCAGUCUGUGUGUGUGUGUGUGUGUGUAUGGACUCAGCAGUUUGUGUGUGUAUGGACUCAGCAGUCUGUGUGUGUGUGUGUGUGUAUGGACUCGGCAGUCUGUGUGUGUAUGGACUCGGCAGUCUGUGUGUGUAUGGACUCAGCAGUCUGUGUGUGUAUGGACUCGGCAGUCUGUGUGUGCAUGGACUCAGCAGUCUGUGUGUGUGUGUAUAUGUGUGUAUGGACUCAGCAGUCUGUGUGUGUGUGUGUAUAGACUCAGCAGUCUGUGUGUGUGUGUAUGGACUCAGCAGAGUCUGUGUGUGUGUACGGACUCAGCAGAGUCUGUGUGUGUGUACAGACUCAGCAGAGUCUGUGUGUGUGUGUACGGACUCAGCAGAGUCUGUGUGUGUGUAUACGGACUCAGCAGAGUCUGUGUGUAUGUGUACGGACUCAGCAGAGUCUGUGUGUGUGUAUGGACUCAGCAGUCUGUGUGUGUGUGUGUGUGUAUGGACUCAGCAGUCUGUGUGUGUAUGAACUCAGCAAUAUGUGUGUGUAUGGACUCAGCAGUCUGUGUGUGUAUGCACUCAGCAGUCUGUGUGUGUGGACUCAGCAGAGUGUGUGUGUUUGUGUACUCAGCAGUCUUUGUGUGUUUGUGUACUCAGCAGUCUUUGUGUGUGUGUGUGGACUCAGCAGUCUGUGUGUGUAUGGACUCAGAAGUCUGUGUGUGUGUAUGGACUCAGCAGUCUGUGUGUGUGUAUGGACUCAGCAGAGUCUGUGUGUUUGUGUGUGUAUGGACUUAGCAGUCUGUGUGUGUGUAUGGACUCAGCAGAGUGUGUGUGUUUGUGUGUAUGGACUCAGCAGAGUGUGUGUGUGUGUAUGGACUCAGCAGUCUGUGUGUGUACGGACUCAGCAGAGUCUGUGUUUGUGUAUGGACUCAGCAGAGUCUGUGUGUGUGUAUGGACUCAGCAGAGUGUGUGUGUAUGGACUCAGCAGAGUGUGUGUGUGUGUGUGUAUGGACUCAGCAGUAUGUGUGUGUGUAUGGACUCAGCAGUCUGUGUGUGUGUAUGGACUCAGCAGUCUGUGUGUGUACGGACUCAGCAGUCUGUGUGUACGGACUCAGCAGUCUGUGUGUACGGACUCAGCAGAGUCGCUGUGUGUGUAUGGACUCAGCAGUCUGUUUGUGUAUGGACUCAGCAGAGUGUGUGUGUGUGUGUAUGGACUCAGCAGAG